GAUGAACGCUGGCGGCGUGCCUAAUACAUGCAAGUCGAGCGAACGGACGAGAAGCUUGCUUCUCUGAUGUUAGCGGCGGACGGGUGAGUAACACGUGGAUAACCUACCUAUAAGACUGGGAUAACUUCGGGAAACCGGAGCUAAUACCGGAUAAUAUUUUGAACCGCAUGGUUCAAAAGUGAAAGACGGUCUUGCUGUCACUUAUAGAUGGAUCCGCGCUGCAUUAGCUAGUUGGUAAGGUAACGGCUUACCAAGGCAACGAUGCAUAGCCGACCUGAGAGGGUGAUCGGCCACACUGGAACUGAGACACGGUCCAGACUCCUACGGGAGGCAGCAGUAGGGAAUCUUCCGCAAUGGGCGAAAGCCUAACGGAGCAACGCCGCGUGAGUGAUGAAGGUCUUCGGAUCGUAAAACUCUGUUAUUAGGGAAGAACAUAUGUGUAAGUAACUGUGCACAUCUUGACGGUACCUAAUCAGAAAGCCACGGCUAACUACGUG
rnacentral:rRNA from 1 species